rnacentral:rRNA from 1 species
UACGGGGGGAGCAAGCGUUGUUCGGAUUUACUGGGCGUAAAGGGCGCGUAGGCGGUCGUGACAAGUCACUUGUGAAAUCUCCGGGCUUAACUCGGAACGGUCAAGUGAUACUGUCGGACUAGAGUACAGAAGGGGCAACUGGGAAUUCUCGGUGUAGCGGUGAAAUGCGUAGAUAUCGAGAGGAACACCUGCGGCGAAGGCGGGUUGCUGGGCUGAUACUGACGCUGGAGGAGCGAAAGCGUGGGGAGCGAACAGG